CCUACGGGAGGCAGCAGUGGGGAAUCUUGCGCAAUGGGCGAAAGCCUGACGCAGCAACGCCGCGUGCGGGAUGAAGGCCUUCGGGUUGUAAACCGCUUUUAACAGGAACGAAAAUGACGGUACCUGUAGAAUAAGGUGCGGCCAACUACGUGCCAGCAGCCGCGGUGACACGUAGGCACCAAGCGUUGUCCGGAUUUAUUGGGCGUAAAGAGCUCGUAGGCGGUUCGAUAAGUCGGGUGUGAAAACUCUGGGCUUAACCCAGAGACGCCACUCGAUACUAUUGUGACUAGAGUUCGGUAGGGGAGCGGGGAAUUCCUAGUGUAGCGGUGAAAUGCGCAGAUAUUAGGAGGAACACCGGUGGCGAAGGCGCCGCUCUGGGCCGAAACUGACGCUGAGGAGCGAAAGCGUGGGUAGCAAACAGGAUUAGAUACCCUGGUAGUCCACGCCGUAAACGGUGGGCACUAGGUGUGGGCUCCAACCAACGGAGUCCGCGCCGUCGCUAACGCAUUAAGUGCCCCGCCUGGGGAGGUACGGCCGCGAGUAAACGUACAANAGAUAGACGCGUGAGACNGCCGACGACGACACGAGGGAGAGG
rnacentral:rRNA from 1 species